GAGUUAAUUUUUAAGUUUUGAAAACUUUUUUAGGUGUUUUUGCUUUUAACUUU
rnacentral:tRNA from 1 species